GCCGGGAUGGCGGAAUAGGUAGACGCGCCAGCUUGAGGGGCUGGUGAGCUUUUGCUUGUGGGGGUUCAAAUCCCCCUCCCGGCACCA
rnacentral:tRNA from 2 species